rnacentral:siRNA from 1 species
UCAAUAAUGUCUCCAUCUGGACU